rnacentral:snRNA from 1 species
GGACAUGAGGACAAUCUGGCUGUGACAUCUGUCACCCCAUUGAUCUCCAGGGUUGAUCUAACUGACUAGGGGGUGUCCCCUUCCUCCCCACCACUCAUGUUCCUCCCAAAGCUACACGCUCAAACAAAACAGCCUUUGCCAAAUAGAGGAGACCUGGUCUCUGGUCAAGGGUAAACAAGUAGCCAUGCUCCCUUCCCCUGCUAGAACCUACAAACAAGCUCUCACGAAAUGUUUAUGUUCUACUCAUUAGAUUCUUGACAAUCUACUAUCAAUGAACAUAUAAAAUAUCAAACUAACCUUU